CCCGAAGCCAUGAGGAGAAGGUUUGUCGGGGUUGUCAUGAGCUCCACACUCAUCAAGUUUUCCUUGAUUGGGGACACCCAGAUUGGGAAAUUCCGGCAAUUUUCAGCAAAGUUCCUAGGGGACCUUUGCCAUCCUUUCACCCUCUCUGGAAUGCCAGAGAAGACAGAAAUGCUAUAGGAUAGCUUUUGGCAAAAUUUUACAGUUUUGGCAAAGAUGGGACAUUUUCAUGUCAUUUGGUCUGUGUCUGUGCAGAAUGACUGUGUCAUGUUUGUUCUGUGAGCUAGAUUUUGCUACCUAGAAAGAUUUAAAAUAUAACCAGCAAGAAAAAACCCCUAUAUGCUGUAGUGAAAAUGCUAGGAAAAUUUCUUUAAAAGUCUAACUUUUUUCUGUGGACUUCAGCUCUGGCCAAGGUCAGGGCUACACAAAAUAAGUUAGCUAAUUAAAAUUAAACCAUCUUAGCAGAUUCUCAAAAUUUUGAAAGCAAUGAUUAGGAAAUUUGGCAAUUAGUCAUUUUAAGAUUGCAAGAAAAAUUCCUGAAACAUUGGGGAUAAUUCCAGGAAUUUAUCCCAUUCUGAAAGAAAAGACAAGGAAAAACAAACUAGGUAAAUAGCAACUUUUUGCUAACCCUUCCUUGACUCCUAUCUUGUCUGCAGUCAUCCUUCUGCUCCUUUAGGAAAGCAUUCCGAAGGUAUUAAAGGACCCUCUCCAUUCCACUCCCUGGAGUGGUCCUCAGUGUAUCUCAGUUGUGGGGAUUGCUAGCAAGAUCUAUUAAUAUAGCCCAAGUCUUUCUGUUUGCCAGCCCCACUCAAAUUCUAUUUCACCUGCAGAAAUAGGGAAAGCAAAAUCAUGGGGACCCCACACGACCUUGCCCAAACACCUCUCCAACCCAGUUUUAUGGGAGUGGGCAUACAGCCAAUAGUCAGCAUUCCCUGAGUCCUGGCUCCUAAAACUACCAUCAAAGUAGUAUCCUGGCACCAGUCACCCCAGCUUUCAGCAGGUUCUGCCUUUGAUAAUGCUACCAUUCUCUGUCUCAAUUGUGGGUAUAGAUUAGCUAUGUAAUUUAUUGCAAAUUAUUUUAUUUCUGCCCAGUUUUCUGAUUAGUAAAGAGAAAUACUAAUUAUUGUUGUG
rnacentral:lncRNA from 1 species